rnacentral:rRNA from 2 species
AGAGUUUGAUCCUGGCUCAGGAUGAACGCUGGCGGCGUGCUUAACACAUGCAAGUCGAACGAACCUUCGGGUUAGUGGCGGACGGGUGAGUAACGCGUGAGAAUCUGCCCUCAGGAGGGGGAUAACGGUUGGAAACGACCGCUAAUACCCCAUAUGCCGAUAGGUGAAAUGAAUUUCGCCUGAGGAUGAGCUCGCGUCUGAUUAGCUUGUUGGUGAGGUAAUGGCUCACCAAGGCUUCGAUCAGUAGCUGGUCUGAGAGGAUGAUCAGCCACACUGGGACUGAGACACGGCCCAGACUCCUACGGGAGGCAGCAGUGGGGAAUUUUCCGCAAUGGGCGAAAGCCUGACGGAGCAACGCCGCGUGAGGGACGAAGGCCUCUGGGCUGUAAACCUCUUUUCUCAAGGAAGAAGAUAUGACGGUACUUGAGGAAUAAGCCACGGCUAAUUCCGUGCCAGCAGCCGCGGUAAUACGGGAGUGGCAAGCGUUAUCCGGAAUUAUUGGGCGUAAAGCGUCCGCAGGCGGCCUUUCAAGUCUGCUGUUAAAGCGUGGAGCUUAACUCCAUUAUGGCAGUGGAAACUGAUAGGCUUGAGUAUGGUAGGGGCAGAGGGAAUUCCCGGUGUAGCGGUGAAAUGCGUAGAUAUCGGGAAGAACACCAGUGGCGAAGGCGCUCUGCUGGGCCAUUACUGACGCUCAUGGACGAAAGCCAGGGGAGCGAAAGGGAUUAGAUACCCCUGUAGUCCUGGCCGUAAACGAUGAACACUAGGUGUCGGGGGAAUCGACCCCUUCGGUGUCGUAGCUAACGCGUUAAGUGUUCCGCCUGGGGAGUACGCACGCAAGUGUGAAACUCAAAGGAAUUGACGGGGGCCCGCACAAGCGGUGGAGUAUGUGGUUUAAUUCGAUGCAACGCGAAGAACCUUACCAGGGUUUGACAUCCUGAGAACCUCUUAGAAAUUUGAGGGUGCCUUCGGGAAUUCAGUGACAGGUGGUGCAUGGCUGUCGUCAGCUCGUGUCGUGAGAUGUUGGGUUAAGUCCCGCAACGAGCGCAACCCACGUUUUUAGUUGCCAGCAUUUAGUUGGGCACUCUAGAAAGACCGCCGGUGAUAAACCGGAGGAAGGUGUGGAUGACGUCAAGUCAUCAUGCCCCUUACACCCUGGGCUACACACGUACUACAAUGCUACGGACAAAGGGCAGCAAACUCGCGAGAGCUAGCAAAUCCCAUAAACCGUGGCUCAGUUCAGAUCGUAGGCUGCAACUCGCCUACGUGAAGUAGGAAUCGCUAGUAAUCGCAGGUCAGCAUACUGCGGUGAAUACGUUCCCGGGCCUUGUACACACCGCCCGUCACACCAUGGAAGUUGGCCAUGCCCGAAGUCGUUACUCCAACCCUUGUGGAGGAGGACGCCGAAGGUGGGGCUAAUGACUGGGGUGAAGUCGUAACAAGGUAGCCGUACCGGAAGGUGCGGCUG